GGAUGGGAGGGUGAUCUGCCUGCGACAACUCUCACCCCAUUGAUCGCCAGGGUUGAUGCGGCUGAUCUGGCUGGCUAGGUGGGUAACCCCUUCCUCCCUCACCGCUCCACGUGCAUCCCUCCCAAAGCUGCGCACUCGGUCGAAAGGGACCACCAUCCCCAAUAGAGGAGGACCGGUCUUCAGUCAAGGGUGUAUGAGUAGCUUCACUCCCCUGCUGGAACCUCAAAACAAGCUCUCAAGAUUAGCUUUGGGACUCUCACUGCACUGUGCACACAGUCCUGUGCCCAAAGUUCUUGUGUCAGGAACUCUGCCCAGUCUUAAG
ensembl:misc_RNA 7SK 7SK RNA